UAAUUUAAGUGAAAAUUAUUAUUCGAUAAAAUUGGAUUUUAGCGGGACUAAGGAAAGAUCGAUAAAUCAAAAUAAAAUAAUUGGUAAGUUCCAAGCUAAUAAAUUUUUAAGAUAAGGUUCGUAAAAUAAAUUUAUGGACCUAAGAAUAAAUCAUAUAAAUUUGGACGAAAGCAUUUUAUUAAACGGAAUUUUAAUUAUCGAAAAAAAAGGGAUAUAAAUAAAUUAUUUGGACCCGAAGAAAUAAAUAAUGCGAUGGAGUCCAUUAUUUAUCUAUAAAGAAUAAUCGUCAAGUUUUCGUGUAAUUAUGAAAACGAUUAGGAUCAAAGUGUAAGAAUAGAAAAUCGAAGGAUUUAGUUGUAAGAGGUGCCUAAUUUAAGCACUUAGAUGGACUUUUUACCCAUCAAAUUAAUUAGAUGAGGACACCUACUCCCCUCCACCUCUUAAUCAUUUUCUCUAGCAGCCAAAUUAGAGAUCAAAAACUCAAAAGGACUUCCAUUUCUCUUCUCCUUUGCCGAAGGAAAACUCCAUCAACCUAGCUUCACUUUUUCUCAAUGGAAUUCAACAAUUUUUGAUGCAAAAUGAUCAUGAGAUGGUGGGUAAGCAAGGUAUAAAUCCAUGAAUUGGAGCUUGAAGGAUGAAGAUUUAAUGAUGGAAACUUGACAUAGGGGUUCGGCCGAAUGGUUCCUCCAUCAUGCUCAAGACCCGGCGAGACGAUUACUAACGGGACUCGGAACAUGACGAACGCGAUACCGUUUUACGAAUUCUCGAAGAUUAUGGUUAGCAAGUGUGUUUUAUUUCAGGUGAUAGUAUUUGAAGAGAUGGACUUCCAUUCUUGUUUCGGAAGUCUGCAAUAUAUAAAGUAUGUAUUGAAGUACGCUUCAAUUCGUAGCGCUGCAGUAGUCAGUAGAUGUCACCCUAUAUUUGAUUGUUUAUAUCAAACAAGGUCCAGCUGUUAACUCUGAUUUUAUAAUAUAUACAUACACGGUUUAUAAAACUAUAUUUUUACCAGUUUGAUAUUUUCAACAAUUGUCUAUGAAUGAAAUUGGUAUGAAAUUGUUUGACUCGAAACAAGGCAAUGCUGAGUUAUGUUAUCGCAGAGUAAGACCUUGGUUCCUAUCGAUUAUGCAUCGGUUUUCAAAGAACGGUUUCGACGUAUAUGAAAUAUUGUUUUACGAUGUUUUCUCGAAAACGUUUUGUGCAUAAUUUUAUGUUUGAUUUGCGAAAAAAAUUUACUCGUUUUUAGGCUUGCUACGGGUUCCGGAGCAACCACUCCCGUUCCCUAGCGCCGGUCUCGGCCCUCGAUUUUGGGUCGUGACAAAGGUGGUAUCAGAGCAGUUGGUCCAGGAUACCACUGCUUUGUGUGUCAGUCUACCUAGGAACUACUGCAGCACAUAAGAUUCGAGUCAUGUCUUGAUCGGUUUUCGUCUUAUUUUAAAACUUUCAACUCUCCUCUCUAAGAUGCGAGUCUAUUAGGAAGUUCAAUAAGAUUGUUUGACGAGAUACACAUGCGUAGAUAUUCCGCUUAUGCCUAGACGUUGGGCCUAUGUUUUGAUGCCCUUCCUAGGCAUUGAUAUAUCGCUUUUGUAUUCAGAUUUGAUUAUAUGGACACAUGCUCAGCAUGUUAGUAAGAUAUGAUUAUGUUA